rnacentral:rRNA from 1 species
UGGGGAAUAUUGGACAAUGGGCGCAAGCCUGAUCCAGCCAUACCGCGUGGGUGAAGAAGGCCUUCGGGUUGUAAAGCCCUUUUGUUGGGAAAGAAACCAGCUGGUUAAUACCCCGGUUGGGAUGACGGUACCCAAAAGAAUAGCACCGGCUAACUUCGUGCCAGCAGCCGCGGUAAUACGAAGGGGUGCAAGCGUUACUCGGAAUUACUGGGCGUAAAGCGUGCGUAGGUGGUCGUUUAAGUCUGUUGUGAAAGCCCUGGGCUCAACCUGGGAACUGCAGUGGAAACUGGACGACUAGANUGUGGUAGAGGGUAGCGAAUUCCUGGUGUAGCAGUGAAAUGCGUAGAGAUCAGGAGGAACAUCCAUGGCGAAGGCAGCUACCUGGACCAACACUGACACUGAGGCACGAAAGCGUGGGGAGCAAACAGGAUUAGAUACCCUGGUAGUCCACGCCCCUAAACGAUGCGAACUGGACGUUGGGGUGCAAUUUUGGCACGCAGUAUCGAAGCUAACGCGUUAAG